AUUGAACGCUGGCGGCAUGCCUUACACAUGCAAGUCGAACGGCAGCACGGGAGCAAUACUAGGCGGCGACCGGCAAACGGGUGCGGAACACGUACACAACCUUCCGAGAAGUGGGGACUCGCCCAGAGAAGUGUGGAUUAAUACCCCGUAACAUAACGAUGUGGCAUCACAUUGUUAUUAUAGCUUCGGUGCUGCUUGAGGGGUGUGCGGCUGAUUAGAUGGUUGGGGGGGUAACGGCCCACGAAGUCGACGAGCAGGAGCUGAUGUGAGAGCAUGAUCAGCCACACGGGCACUGAGACACGGGCCCGACUCCUACGGGAGGCAGCAGUAAGGAAUAUUGGUCAAUGGACGCAAGUCUGAACCAGCCAUGCCGCGUGAAGGAUUAAGGUCCUCUGGAUUGUAAACUUCUUUUAUCUGGGACGAAAAAAGGCGAUUCUUCGUCACUUGACGGUACCAGAUGAAUAAGCACCGGCUAACUCCGUGCCAGCAGCCGCGGUAAGAC
rnacentral:rRNA from 1 species